CCUACGGGUGGCAGCAGUGGGGAAUAUUGCACAAUGGGGGAAACCCUGAUGCAGCGACGCCGCGUGAGUGAAGAAGUAAUUCGUUAUGUAAAGCUCUAUCAGCAGGGAAGAAACACUGACCUUACGGUCAGCAGACGGUACCUGAGUAAGACGCCCCGGCUAACUACGUGCCAGCAGCCGCGGAAAUACGUAGGGGGCAAGCGUUAUCCGGAUUUAUGGGGUUUAAAGGGUGCGUUGCCGGAGUGCCAAGUCAGCGGGAAAAUUGAGGGGCUCAACCUCGCUCCGCCGUUGAAACUGUCGUUCUUGAGUGGGCGAGAGGUAUGCGGAAUGCGGGGUGUAGCGGUGAAAUGCAUAGAUAUCACGCAGAACUCCAGUUGCGAAGGCAGCAUGCCGGCGCCCAACUGACGCUGAAGCGCGAAAGCGUGGGUAUCGAACAGGAUUAGAUACCCUUGUAGUC
rnacentral:rRNA from 1 species